UUUCUUUCUCCUUCUAAUUUCACCUCUUCGUCUCCAUAUCUUCUCUCCCCUCUUUGUCUCUAAAUCUCCUUUCCUCUUCAGAUGAUCAGAUCUCCUCUUCUCAUCGUCUCCAGAUUUCCUCUCUCUCCUCUCUCGUUCUGUUUUUUUUCUUUUUUUCUUUUCCGUUUAUGGAUCUGACUGGAGAGUUAAGAAGAAGAAUGAGUCUCUCUGUUUGUCUCUCUUUAUCUCUUUUGAAACAGGUACCACAACCGCUGUUCCAGGUAAAACCACUGGUGUCGCUUCCGCUUCUCUCCGAUUCAGAUUCUGGAUCUAAGACUGAUACUGAUUCCGAUGCCUUCUUACGGAGCCUCCACUCCUUCUUCUCUCACGAUUGGGACUACGUUUGGUUAUUGGUUUAAACUCCGCUUAGGCGAUGAGACUUUAGAAUGGUCUAAGCAGAUGUUCAAGGUCUUUCUCCGAUUUCAUUGCAAAGAAUUUGCGGGAAUAUGCAAAAGUUUCUUUAUCUUGUGAAGAGAGUUUUGGAACUGGUUCGGAUCAUAUCCGUGAGAAAGAUGGGAUUUGGGCAGUUCUUGCUUGGUUAUCCAUACUGGCUCACAAGAACAAGAAGCCUUGAAGGGGAUGCAAAACCCGUGACGGGGGAAGACAUCGUCCGCCAGCAUUGGGCUACUUAUGGCCGUCACUAUUACACUCGAUACGACUAUUAGAAUGUAGACGCAACUGCAGCUAAAGAACACAUGGGGCUCUUGGUUAAGUUACAAUCUUCACUUACUGAAGUUUGGAUUUAUGCUAUAGUAUGCAUCUGCAUAAAUAUUCAUGGCCUGAAUAUGUACUUUUGGUUAUCAUUCAUCCCUGCCAUUCUUGUCAUGUUAGUUGGAACCAAACUUGAGCAUGUUGUCUCGAAGCUUGCUCUCGAGGUUAAGGAACAACAGACAUGCACAACUAAUGGGGCUCAAGUCAAACCACCUGACAGACUCUUCUGGUUUGAAAAUCUUUUUUCAAUGUAUUUAUAUAUCUUCUAUUUGAAUGUAUGAUAUUAAAGUAAGGUUUAACAUUAAUUGUAAUUGUGUAUGUUUUGCAAUGUAACUUUUAACAUAUUUUCA